rnacentral:rRNA from 1 species
UACGAAGGGGGCUAGCGUUGUUCGGAAUUACUGGGCGUAAAGCGCGCGCAGGCGGUUCUUCAAGUCAGAGGUGAGAGCCCAGAGCUCAACUCUGGAAUGGCCUUUGAGACUAGAGAACUAGGGUACGGGAGAGGUGAGUGGAAUUCCGAGUGUAGAGGUGAAAUUCGUAGAUAUUCGGAAGAACACCAGUGGCGAAGGCGGCUCACUGGCCCGUUACCGACGCUCAGGCGCGACAGCGUGGGGAGCAAACAGG